GAAUCAAGAAAUCUCAUACAGUUAUUAUUAGAUGUAUAAAUGUUACUAAAAUUACAAAUAUGGAGGAAGUACAUAAGAGAUUGCACAUGUAUUUACUUGUAUGAGCUGUUUUACAAAUUUGUCCAUUGCAUUUUAAAAAAUUUGCUGAAAAUAUACUUUGACAAUAUCUGUUCUUUAAGGAAUAAUCUUAUAUAUGUAUUAGAUUUUAAAUAUAUUAUAGGAUUUGUCAAUUAACACUAUUCUUAUUAGUACCUAUAUAUUACUUUGAUAAAGUUGAUGACAAUGGCAGACUGUUUGGCACAAGGAUUUAUUAUUAUAAACAGUAUAUCUCAAUCAAUAUUUUUUUUUAAUGAUUAUGGUAUUUUUUCUAUAUACAAUUUUGUAGAAAACUAAUAAGGCACUUUUAUGAAUAGAACAUACAAAGUUAUUUCUAUAUGCCACACUUGUAUUUAUGAAUUGAGGCAACAUUGAUUUAAAAACUAACAUUUAUUAUAAAUAUAUAAUAGAUUCGCAGAUUGUGGCAAUGUAACAUUAAAUAAUUAUUAGAUUAUCCAAUUGUGAUGAUUUGGGUUUAAUUCAAUCAAGAUGAUCUCAAUAUCAUGUCUAAUAAAAUAUUCUUGUAUGUAAGUAUUUACAAAUACACACAUAUACUUUUGUAGAUUUUACCUGUUUUUAUAGAAUAAACAAUUUCAAUUAACAGUUGUGUGUGUGUGUAUGUGUGUAUGUAUGUAUAUAUAUAUAUAAACUAUCUAUACUAUAAUAAUAAAAUAGUUUUUUGCAGAAUAAUAAGAGCAGAAAGAAUUGUAGUGAUACAGGGAAUAUAAUAGUAUAGUGUGUGAUAAUAAGAAACUUAUAAUAAUAUAUAUCUAACAUAAUAAAUUU